rnacentral:tRNA from 1 species
GGAGACGUGGCCGAGUGGUCGAAGGCGCUCCCCUGCUAAGGGAGUAGGCCCGAAAGGGUCUCGAGGGUUCGAAUCCCUUCGUCUCCGCCA